rnacentral:rRNA from 1 species
GACGAACGCUGGCGGCGUGCUUAACACAUGCAAGUCGAGCGAGAGGAUCUCCUUCGGGAGUGAAUCUAGCGGCGGACGGGUGAGUAACACGUGGGUAACCUGCCUCAUAGAGGGGAAUAGCCUUUCGAAAGGAAGAUUAAUACCGCAUAAGAUUGUAGUGCCGCAUGGCAUCGCAAUUAAAGG